GCUGCCCGUGGGGUGGGAUGCUGGAAUUGCCUCUCUGGCUGUGUGCUGAGCUCUGGCUGCAGGGGACUGUCAGGCCUUGGUGGCUCUGUUCCCUGAUGUCCAUUCCCUGGCCUGAAUUCCUUGCAGCUCCCAGCUGGGGAAACCUGGGAGAACAGGGCAGGGACAGAGGUGACAUCUGUAGCUGCCAA